rnacentral:rRNA from 1 species
AUAAGCAAAAUAAGGGCGUAUGGGGAAUGCCUAGGCUCUCAGAGGCGAAGAAGGACGUGAUAAGCUGCGAAAAGCUACGGGGAUCGGCACACACGACUUGAUCCGUAGAUAUCCGAAUGGGGCAACCCACUAUGUU